rnacentral:rRNA from 1 species
CUGAAGCCGAAGCGAGAGCGAGUCUGACAAGGGCGAUAAGUUGUAUGCAAUAGACCCGAAACCGGGUGACCUAGCCAUGUUCAGGUUGAAGUGGAGGUAAAGCUCCAUGGAGGACCGAACCGACCUCCGUUGAAAAGGCGGCGGAUGAAAUGUGGCUAGCGGAGAAAUUCCAAUCGAACCCGGAAAUAGCUGGUUCUCCCCGAAAUAGCUUUAGGGCUAGCGUUGUAUUAGAUUUCUGGGGGUAAAGCACUGAAUAGGCUAGGGGCCGAGAGGUUACUGAACCUUAUCAAACUAAGAAUACCAGAAAAUUGAUGUACAGCAGUCAGACUAUGUGAGAUAAGUCUCAUAGUCAAAAGGGAAACAGCCCAGACCCACAGCUAAGGUCCCAAAACAGAUUUAAGUGGAAAAGGAUGUGGGAUUGCCCAGACAACCAGGAUGUUGGCUUAGAAGCAGCCACACAUUAAAAGAGUGCGUAAUAGCUCACUGGUCGAGUGAUCCUGCGCCGAAAAUUCAACGGGGCUAAAAUUUGUACCGAAGCUUGGGCUUGAUACUUCGUAUCAGGGGUAGGGGAGCGUCAUGUAUGAGGUGAAGUCAUAGCGGAAGCGGUGGUGGAUUGUACAUGAGAGAGAAUGCCGGAAUGAGUAGCGAGAAUUAUGUGAGAAUCAUAAUGGCCGAAAAUCUAAGGUUUCCUGAGGAAGGUUCGUCCGCUCAGGGUAAGCCGGGAGCUAAGGUGAGGCGGAAACGCGUAGCCGAUGCACAUACGGUAGAGAUUCCGUAGCCUCCGAAAAGUAAAGCACAGGGACGCUUCAGAAGUGUUACGCCGGGCGAUGGUUGCCCCGGUUGUAAAGGACACAAUUGAGUGGAAGGUAACAUGGAUGGAGACAAGAAAAGCUGUGUGUAUCUGGAAGGAGCCCGUACCGCAAACCGACACAGGUAGAUAGGAAGAAGAUUCUAAGGCCAGCGGGAGAAGGGUUGUUAAGGAACUCGGCAAGUUGACCCCGUAACUUCGGGAGAAGGGGUGCUUACGAAGGUAAGCCGCAGAGAAUAGGCCCAAGCGACUGUUUAGCAAAAACACAGCUCUAUGCUAAAUCGAAAGAUGACGUAUAUGGGGUGACACCUGCCCGGUGCUGGAAGGUUAAGAGGAGAUGUGAGAGCAUUGAAUUGAAGCCCCAGUAAACGGCGGCCGUAACUAUAACGGUCCUAAGGUAGCGAAAUUCCUUGUCAGGUAAGUUCUGACCCGCACGAAUGGUGUAACGAUUUGGGCACUGUCUCAACAACCUACCCGGCGAAAUUGUAGUACCGGUGAAGAUGCCGGUUACCCGCGACUAGACGGAAAGACCCCAUGGAGCUUCACUGUAGCUUAAUAUUGAAUUUUGGUAUUUCAUGUACAGGAUAGGUGGGAGACUGGGAAAUACAGGCGUCAGCUUGUAUGGAGUCACUGUUGGGAUACCACUCUUGAGGUGCUGAAAUUCUAACCUGCGUCUUUGAAUCAAGACGGGGGACAUUGUUAGGUGGGCAGUUUGACUGGGGCGGUCGCCUCCAAAAGAGUAACGGAGGCGCUCAAAGGUUCGCUCAGCAUGGACGGAAACCAUGCCAAAGAGUGCAAACGCAAAAGCGAGCCUAACUGCGAGACUGACGGGUCGAGCAGUAACGAAAGUUGGAGUUAGUGAUCCGGCGGUAUGUGAGUGGAAAUGCCGUCGCUCAACGGAUAAAAGCUACCCUGGGGAUAACAGGCUGAUCUCCCCCAAGAGUCCACAUCGACG